CUGCUAAUUGGUUGGAACAAAACCCUGCAGCCACAGUGCCCAUUUGCAGAGAAGUUUGGAUACCCCUUGAACAAACCAGGAAUCAUCUCGGUGAGAUGAUCCGACAUUCUUCAAGGAUUCCGACCGUCUUUUGGCUCUCUGCAACACCUCAAGUCCGAGUUUAGACGAACGAUCAAGUGAAGCGUCCAGCCAACACCGACCUGCCAUGAUCACAGGCUGCACGUGCAUGAGAGAGUUACAUUAAUAAAUAUCACGCGGACAAACACAGCUCGUUAUCGAUCACAAGUCACAAUCCACCUGCUAAAAGUUUCAGGCUACAUCCCAAAUCAGUUCUAAUCUGAAUAAUAUACGAAAUUACACCACCACAGUUGAUCAUUUAGUACAUGGGUGUGUACUGUUGAACGUAGACGUGCAAAACAUUCACUGGCAUUAACGUUAAUCAAAUCUGCAGAGCCUUUUCUGAAUCGAGCCAUGCAAGGCGAAACUUCUAAAAGUUAAAAUUUACAACACGAGAUGCUUUCCUGUUAUUUCUAAUUCCCGUGAACAUUCACCGCUGUCCGACAUUGUUGUUACAGCAGUAUCAUUAGUUCAGAUCUUCUGG